GUAGUUAGCCGGGGCUUCCUCCUUGGCUACCGUCACUUUCUUCGUCACCAAGGACAGAGGUUUACAAUCCGAAGACCUUCUUCCCUCACGCGGCGUUGCUGGGUCAGGCUUGCGCCCAUUGCCCAAUAUUCCCCACUGCUGCCUCCCGUAGGAGUCUGGACCGUGUCUCAGUUCCAGUGUGGCCGAUCAGCCUCUCAGCUCGGCUACCCAUCGUUGGCUAGGUGGGCCGUUACCCCGCCUACUACCUAAUGGGACGCGAACCCCUCCUUCUGCGGAUUGCUCCUUUGACCCCUGAGCCAUGCGACUCUGUGGUCUUAUGCGGUAUUAGCACUUGUUUCCAGGUGUUAUCCCCCUCAAAAGGGCAGGUUGUUCACGCGUUACUCACCCGUUCGCCACUAGCUAUAAAUCCGAAAACCUAUAGCCCGUUCGACUUGCAUGUGUUAGGUCACGCCGCCACGCGUUCGUCCUGAGCACANACUACUACUACUACUACGUAGACGGCGGCGCGAGACGGCGAC
rnacentral:rRNA from 1 species